rnacentral:rRNA from 1 species
AUUGAACGCUGGCGGCAUGCCUUACACAUGCAAGUCGAACGGUAGCGGGCCUUCGGGUGCCGACGAGUGGCGAACGGGUGAGUAAUGUAUCGGAACGUACCUUUCAGUGGGGGAUAACGUAGCGAAAGUUGCGCUAAUACCGCAUAUUCUGUGAGCAGGAAAGCAGGGGAUCGCAAGACCUUGCGCUGAUUGAGCGGCCGAUAUCAGAUUAGCUAGUUGGUGAGGAAAAGGCUCACCAAGGCGACGAUCUGUAGCGGGUCUGAGAGGAUGUUCCGCCGCACUGGAACUGAGACACGGUCCGGACUCCUGCGGGAGGCAGCAGUGGGGAAUUUUGGACAAUGGGGGCAACCCUGAUCCGGCCAUGCCGCGUGAGUGAAGAAGGCCUUCGGGUUGUAAAGCUCUUUCGGCCGGGAAGAAAUCGUAUCAGCUAAUACCUGGUGCGGAUGACGGUACCGGCAUAAGAAGCACCGGCUAACUACGUGCCAGCCGCCGCCGUAAUAC